rnacentral:rRNA from 1 species
CCUACGGGAGGCGGCAGUGGGGAAUUUUGGACAAUGGGCGCAAGCCUGAUCCAGCAAUGCCGCGUGAGUGAAGAAGGCCUUCGGGUUGUAAAGCUCUUUUGUCAGGGAAGAAACGGCUGAGGUUAAUACCUUUGGCUAAUGACGGUACCUGAAGAAUAAGCACCGGCUAACUACGUGCCAGCAGCCGCGGUAAUACGUAGGGUGCAAGCGUUAAUCGGAAUUACUGGGCGUAAAGCGUGCGCAGGCGGUUUUGUAAGUCUGACGUGAAAUCCCCGGGCUCAACCUGGGAAUUGCGUUGGAGACUGCAAGGCUGGAGUCUGGCAGAGGGGGGUAGAAUUCCACGUGUAGCAGUGAAAUGCGUAGAGAUGUGGAGGAACACCGAUGGCGAAGGCAGCCCCCUGGGUCAAGACUGACGCUCAUGCACGAAAGCGUGGGGAGCAAACAGGAUUAGAUACCCUGGUAGUCCACGCCCUAAACGAUGUCUACUAGUUGUCGGGUCUUAAUUGACUUGGUAACGCAGCUAACGCGUGAAGUAGACCGCCUGGGGGAGGUACGGUCGCGAGAAGUUAAACGUUAAAGGUAAGUUAGACGGCGUGAGACGUGCCGACGGACGACGACGAGGGAGGAGG